GCGGCGAACGGGUGAGUAACGCGUGGGUAACCUACCUUAUACAGGGGGAUAACACCGGGAAACCGGUGCUAAUACCGCAUAACACAUGAAGGUGGCAUCACCUUUAUGUCAAAGGAGUAACAUCCGGUAUAAGAUGGGCCCGCGUCCAAUUAGCUAGUUGGUGAGGUAACGGCUCACCAAGGCGACGAUUGGUAGCCGAGCUGAGAGGUUGAUCGGCCACAUUGGGACUGAGACACGGCCCAGACUCCUACGGGAGGCAGCAGUGGGGAAUAUUGCACAAUGGGGGAAACCCUGAUGCAGCGACGCCGCGUGAAGGAAGAAGGUCUUCGGAUCGUAAACUUCUUUGAUUGGGGAAGAAGUAAGUGACGGUACCCAAGGAACAAGCCACGGCUAACUACGUGCCAGCAGCCGCGGUAAAACGUAGGUGGCGAGCGUUGUCCGGAAUUACUGGGUGUAAAGGGCGCGUAGGCGGGGGAGCAAGUCAGGUGUGAAAUACCACG
rnacentral:rRNA from 1 species